rfam:Triticum aestivum genome assembly, contig: Triticum_aestivum_CS42_TGACv1_scaffold_559118_7AL
AAAGUACUCCCUCCGUCCCAAAAUUCUUGUCUUAGAUUUUUCUAGAUACGGAUGUAUCAAGUCACAUUUUAGUAUUAGAUACAUCUGUAUCUAGACAAAUCUAAGACAAGAAAUUUGGGACAGAGGGAGUAGUUG